CAACAGACCUGAUUGAUUCCAGGUAGUGUUCUGCUACUUUGAGGAUAAAGCUAUUCAGAAAGACAAAUCUGGGAUGAUGCAGUGUGUGAUUGCUGUUGCAGACAAAGUGUUCGAUGCCUUCCUAAACAUGAUGGCAGAUAAAGCCAAGACAAAGGAGAAUGAAGAGGAGCUAGAGCGACAUGCUCAGUUUCUGUUGGUGAGCUUCAACCACAUUCACAAGAGGACAAGGAGGGUGGCCGACAAGUACCUGUCUGGUCUGGUGGAUAAGUUUCCCCACUUGCUCUGGAGCGGGACUGUACUGAAGACCAUGCUGGACAUCCUGCAGACUCUAUCCCUGUCGCUGAGUGCUGACAUUCAUAAGGACCAGCCUUACUACAGCAUCCCUGAUGUGCCCUAUUGGAUCACAGUUCCUGACACAUACGAAGCCCGAGAGGUAGGCCCUGCCUGCUCCCUGCAC
rnacentral:lncRNA from 1 species